ACCAGUUCUGCUGUUCGAAUCAUGUCGUGAUGGCCUCUUGAACAAAGGGCCUUAUAUAUGACAUCUGAUUCUUUGAAGGCAUCUGCCUCGAUGACUACGGCAUUACCUGCUGCUCCUGCCCAGAAAGGACUAUGCAGAAAAAUGGUGACAGAAGAUGUUUUGUUCAGUAAUUCUGUUGCUUACUCAUUGAGAAUAUCCUUGAGGACGGUGCUCUUUCCAGCCCCCAUACCUCCGCCCAUGAGGAGGAGCACUGGGCUUCUAUCGCUGUGAGCUACAGGAGCCAUCACCUCUGUACACUGAGAGUCAUCAUUGACUGCAACCCCCAUUGCUUUCAUCUCUUCCACUAAUGUGUUAAAAACACUGGCCACCUUCAGGUAUUGAGGGGAGAGGGAAGAAAGCCUUAUCAGUGCAUGUGGUUUCAUUGUUAUGUUUCAUUGACUUUAUUUUGUACAGAAUUUCACCACGUUACUUGCACAAAUGCAUCUAAGGAGCUACUUUGGACAUUUUCUUUAAGAAGGCGAUAAUGCAAGGCUAUAGCAAAUAUCAACCCAACAAAUAUGGCUAGGAUGAUCUGAGUAAAGCUGGGCUUGCCAUCAUAAUCUGAACAAGAUUCAGCUGUGUCACGAUUAAAAAUCAUCAUAG